UGUGUGUGUGUGUGUGUGUGUGUGUGUGUCUCCAGCCCAGGGAAAAAACAGAGAUAAACGCGACAGGAGAGGAAAUGCCAAGCAAUCAGAAGAGGAGGCACAAGGCGUCCCCAGUCUGAGGGUGAUUGAUCGCCCUAUCUCCGCAGGACCCUGUCCAGGAUGGGAAUGAGGAAAGGAUGGUCAGAGAUAACUCAGGACCUUGGCUCCAGAAGUGCGCAAUGAGACAAAAUGCAAAAACACGCUCACUAUUUCUCCGUGUUCUUGUAUGUGUUUGGACCAGGAAGAGCGGGUGCAUGGUCUGUGGAUUCACCCAGGGCAUAUCAGGUGGGGUGGGCCUUUAAAACCACCGCCUGUGGAGCCCACAGUUUGUGGGGACAUAGGCCGUCCUGUGGAAAUGGUGGAUGUGGAUACAGAGGACCUGGGAUGUUGAGGAGGCUAAGGUCUUGCUGAGAAGGACAGAGACUCGAAGGAGAAAGAGGCACAGAUUGAUGUACUGGAGACUUGUUCCGCACAUGUGAGAAGGAGACCCAGGAAGGUCCUGGGCGAGUGCUUGCCAGGAUCAGCCCAUCAGCCAGCACACUCCCUCCAUGAGGGUGGCACACACUGGCACAAUGUAACACAAAAUGCGAGACAUGCUAAAGUAGGCUGUCCGUGCAAAACCACAGGCAUCCUAGGAGAGACAAGGCGAGAGGGUCUCACGAAUUCCGCUCA
rnacentral:sRNA from 1 species